ACCUGUGCAGCCAUUUCACGUUCGCUCAGGCCACCGCAAAUCUGAAUCAGACGGUCGGAGAGCGUGGAUUUACCGUGGUCGAUGUGCGCGAUGAUUGAAAAGUUUCUUAUGUGCUUCAUUUAUAUGGAUUUUUUCGCAUCAGGAAAUGUUGAAAUUCGCAUGGUGGGUAGCGCUAUGGGCUCAUACCGCGAUCGAUUACGAUGACCCCACCAAUAAUAUGUGUCGCAUCUUACACUGUUAGCCACCCAGGCGAAAGAAUACAAGGUAACUUCUCCACGACAUAUCAACGGGGUGGAAACAGUACGGCAAACGAGAGUAUCGCGAUGCGUCGCUGUGGGAUCGGUUCAGGAAGCCGUGAUGCAGCGGUGUAAAUGACUGGAGCGAAAUGUCUGACCUGGGUGCGGUGUCUGCGGCAGCGAUGAGCAACCGGAGACACCGCGCGAACUCAGGCAUCGGUGAUGACGCUAAUCGCAUCCGGCGGCAGCGCGACGCUGAGGAUCACCGGCUGGUAAGCGGCGGCCCGGCCAAGCAGGCCGGAGAUACCUCUGGCGACGAUAAAGCCGCCCGUGCCACCCAGCAGCGCGCCGCUGGCCGCCGCCAGAUCGCUGUGAAACAGCAGCUGGAACAGGCCGGCGACGAUAAACAGCCCCAGCAGAGGUGUCAUAUAGACCAGCAGCGCGGAGCUGAGCAGGCUGGCUUCGGCAAUGCCCAGUUCGAUUCGCUGGCCAGGGAUCAGCGGCUCGGCGCUGGCCACGGUCAUCACGUGGGCGUUUUUCGGCCCCAGCUUGUUGAGCAUAUGGCUACCGCAACCUUUACGGGCAGAGCAGCUGCUGCAGGAGGUUUUUAUUUCGGAGUGCAACGUGGCGACGCCGUUUUGCCACGAAACCACCGUGGCCCAUUCUCUCAUCAUGGUGCGGUACCUAAAGUAAUGCUGUCAGCGA
rnacentral:ncRNA from 1 species